UUUGUGUUUUUCUUUUUUUUUUUUUUUAAUGCUUUAGGUGGUUUACGUGAUUUGCAGUAGGGGCUGCAGAGCUGUCAUGUUUUUGGUACAAGCUAUACUUACUUGUUCAUGUAACAGCCGCUUAAGUACUAUUAAAAUAAUGGGCCCACCUCGCUGGGGGUUUGGUUUUUUUCUUGAACGCGGGAUGCAGAGAUAAAAAAAAAAUACAGCCAGACCACUGUAUGUGGUGUUACAGGUAGUUACAUCUUUUUAAGAGCAUGUCAUAUGGGCGGGUAUUUGCCAUUCUGAAAGUAAAAUUUGACUUUGUGCGGUGGAAUAAGAAUCUUCAUAGGAACCCGAGUAAAAUCAGUAUCUCUACAGAAGCUCAGGUGUGGGGUUCCUGUAUUGUGGUCUGGUGGUGUAGUUAAAGACCUGAAGCAGUGCUGGUGGCACCAAAUGCACCUUGUGGUCUUAAAGUAACAGAAAUUGUUUACAUGGUGUUUAGCUUGGAGCUCUUUUUAUUGUUCAAAUCACCAAUUUAAGAUGCUGGCAAUACAGUGUUAAUUACUACUGUUCCUGUAGUUUUCCAGCUUAAUUGGCUUAAUCUUGUUUUUUAUGUAAAUUACCAAAAUUCUGAAAGGUAAGAAUCAGUGCUAACUGGACAGCACAAAGUAUCAGUAAAGUAAAAAGAUUAAAAGGCUAUAUUUUCAGUUCUCCAUUGUCAGUGAAAAAUAUUUACUUGGGAACAAAAUCAAAGAAAUUGAAUCAUUCAAAUCUUAAUAUAUGAAAUAACUUAUGUCAUUAUGUAAAUCUUUUGAUCCACUUGUAAUUUAUAGCUUUGGUUUUAGCUUUGUCUUAAGCUGCAAACUGGUGUCUAAGAGAUAAUGUAGUUAACAUUCUUGGAACAUUAUGCUAAUGGAAAUGAAAGGGGUAAAGAGAUGCUUUUUCUUUUUUUUUUCCUUAAUACUAAAACUCUCAUUAGGCAGUCAUUUGUGUUUGUGGUUUGUUUUUCCUCCUCCAUUCCCCAGUGUAAAUCUGAGGACUGUUUGCCUUUUCUCUCUGCAGAAGAGAAAACAAACAUUAAAUAAUGGAGGGGAAGCUUUCUUUCAAAACAGCGCAACUGUUUACUGGAUUCAGCAAUACUCAAGCCAUUCUAAACCAGAUUUUUUUUUCCUUCAUCAGUGCUGUUUAUGCCAGCGUUACACACAGUGACUACAAGAUGGAAUGUUGUUUUCUUUUGUUGUGUAUUACCCCAGCCAUGACAAUUUGCAAGUGGAAGCAGUCUUACAGCCUCAGACAAGCCUCUGUGGAACAGCUGCUCACGCAGGAUUGUCCUUGUACUUCAGCAGCAUUGCCUGCAGAAUUUAACACUUGUCAUGUUUACAGAUCUCCAGCUUGAAACCUAAACAGAGCAGGGGGAAUGACUUUGAUCCUUCAACACCCACAGAUUGGACAAGGGACUUGAGAGAAAUGGGAAGCUUUACUGCCAGUGAAGACUGAGGCAAAGCACUUGCUUGAAUUGCACUCUUGCAAAGUUCAGGGUCUUGAUUUUGCUCCUUGCCAGGCCCAAACUCCUUGAGAUCAUGAACUCAGCCAGGGUGGUUGUUACAGCCAAGGCUGCUUUUGAUCUUAACUCCUUUGAUGUGCUCAUCCACUGCAUUGACUCAGUCCAGGACGUUCAGUGUGGCACAGACCUGGACCCAGCAUCCACCUGUGUAUCACCAGUGCUGAGCAGGGAGAAAGGAUCUCAUCGCUUGGCUUACUGGCAGUGCUCUUCCUAAAACAACCCAGGAUGCCACUGGCCUUUUUUUUCUUCAGGGGCACACAUCUGGCUCAUGGUCAGCUUGUUGUUGAUUCAGACUCAGCAAUUCAGCACAUUUUCUGACAAGUUGCUCUGUAGCUGUUCAGCCCCUGUGCGUGGCCCCACUGUGUGGCAGACUCGUGUAUGUCCAUUUUGCACAUAGACCUAUUCAAGUGCGUAGGCACCUGAGUUUUCAUCAUAAGGUACUCUAGGUAUGUAUCUGUGCCUAGGCUGCAGCUGGCUUGACAGGUCUGAAGGCUGCAUUUCAGGUCAUGCCUGAGCCUGCUCAGAGGUUCUUUGAUAAAUUAUCCUGUGCCUGCAGCCCCAAAGGGAUCCAGUGCUGUGACUGUGUUUUUAGCAUGCACCUGAAUGUGUACUGCUGUCAGUGAAUCAUCCCAAAAGAGAGCAGCUGUAAUCAUUCUCCUUCUUAAAUACAGCUGCCAGUCCAGCUAACUUUUUUUUUUUUCCCUUUAAUGCAAUAGGACUUGCUCAGCAAACAAGGAACCAGGUUUCUUUGUCUUCGGCAAUUUCAGGAAGUUCAAAAUCAUAGCUUUCAGAGAACCCAAGUUCAAAUUAACUCAUUUUCUUUUUGAGCCAAUGCAUACAUGCUGUUGAUCAUCCCUGGCAUGACAGUACUUCUAAGAGCCCAGUUAGGCUGGGUGCUUGUUUGUAGGCCUGCAGGAACAAGCUGUCUUUCCGGAGGUGCUCUGAUACCAUGGCAACUGUCACUUUACAAGGAGACAGAUAGCAACCCAAGCCCCUGAGCCAUCCCAUUGCCCGGAGCUACUGAGCCUUUACUAGUUCCAGUAAACAUUAGAGGUUGCACUAAGCCUGAUGUGAUCAACUGCAACUCCAGUGACUUCAAAGACAUUUGUCCCACUGUAACCCUCACUGGAAUUACUAUUUCAGUGACAGUGAAAUAAUUCCCAUCAAGUACAAAUUACUUAGAAGCUUUUGGAUAGAACUUAACCAUACAAGUUAAACCUAUUUGUCAUAGCUAUUAUCAGUGAACUGAAGACAGGAAGGCAAUCUAAUUUUACUGUUUUAUUCAGAUGUAAAAGUUGGACAUGGCUACACUACAGGUAAAUUCCUAGAGAGAGUUUCUAUUACAAACACAAAAUACUGUCCAGGAAAGCAGGAUCAGGGUAUAUUAGAAAAAUUAAUUUCAAGCAAUUUACAUCUGUUCAUUGCAAAAGCAAUUUGUCUUGCAGCUACUACAUCAAGAGAAAUAGAGAGGCAUUUUUCUUUGUUCUGAGAAUGUAGCAAAACAGUGAAAAGCAAGGGGAAUGCCAAAGGCCAGACUGAAAGGAUUUAUGGGUUUGCCAGAUAAGUCAGUCAGGACUGUCUGCCAGUUAGUGGUCUGAAGCCAUUUACUAGGUCUGACAGCGAUGAAGGUUUUUUCACUAUAACAACUCCUGUGGUGCUGAUAACAGACCAACAUUUCAGAUGCUGCUGAACAGCAUUGGUGCAGCAUGAAAGCAUUCACUGCUGACUCUUACCCCAGUGAAUAGAUUGGAGUGUGUGAAAGGUAGGGAGAGGACACAACUAGGCAUAUGACCCAAACUGACCAAAGAGAUUUUCCAUGCCCUACAGUGUCAUGUUCAGCAAUAAAAGAGCAGGAAGAGUGGAGUUAGGUAGGUUAGCUAUCUAUUGCUUGGCAACUGAUGGAGCAUCUGUCUUGCAUGGGAGGUGAUUAGUGAUUGUCCUUCUAUCAUGAGCUCUGGCUUUUUUUCUCUAUAUCUUCUUUCACUCUUCCAUUGCCUGUUAAACCAUUCUUACACUGACCAUGAAUUUUCUGGGGUUUGCUCUUUCCUUUUGUCUUUCCCAUAAAACUGUCUUUGGGGGUAGGGAAGGGAGCAAGUAUCUGUGUGGUGCUUAGGUGCCCACAAUAAUUCAUAGCAUAAUUCAUAUAAAUAUCAGUUUUCAGGACAGCUCUUUAGGUGUCUGUUUAGAACCCACUAAUUAAUGAAAUUGAAGCUUUUUGUAGAACAGUUUUGUGCUCUGAAGUCCUUGGAAACAGGGAGCAUUGAACAGGCAGAGAAAUUCCUCACGCUUUCUGGAGAGCACCAUGUGGAGCAAAGCAGGGCCUCUGAAUCACUCCAGUCCUUGCCUUGUCUCCUUUGUUUUUCAUAGUCAAUGGUAGUGUCUGAUGAGACAGCCUUUAAACAGCAGCCCCCAUGAGAAGGCUUUUAUCAAGAAAGAUGAAGACUGCUAAUAGCACUUUGCUUGCUUGUUUCAAACCAUUGUGUUCUUUCCAGCCUGAAAGGUUUACUGUGAGGAAAACUGCAAAACCAUGAUUUUGAAUAUCAAAUAGUCAAAAUUUUUGCCUGGUGUAGCUGAGGAAAGGGUAAUUCUUGGAAGGAGAUUCCAUGCCCAUGAAAAGCCAGUCAAGGAAAUAAAAAUGUAUUUCUAUGUUCACUUCUCAUUGAUCCUCCAACAAGAAGCUCAUCUAGUGUGCUAUCCUUGCAGCCAGUGCGUCUCUGCUCUGCAUUAUCUGAAUGCAGGGUCAAGUCCUAUACUUGCUAAGGAUUGAAUAGGGAGCACAGACACAAAGAUAAACAUUAUACAGGGUCUGGCUGGGAUGGAGUUAAUUUUCUUCCAGAUGCUGCUCUGUUUUGGAUUUGUGACUAAAUCAGAGGUGAUGGCACGGCUUGUGUGGCACUGGGGCUUUCUCUUUUCUCAACUCUGCCUCAGCAACAAGAAGGCUGGGGGAUCGUGAGAUAUUGCGAGAGGAUGUAACCAGGAUAGUUUUCCCAAAUUGACCAAAGGGAUAUCCCAUGCCAUAGAAUGUGUGGGGAGGGUUUGAGGUUUUUUUGAAUGCAGACAUUGCUUGGAGACUAACCAGUUGUCAGUAUCAGUGUGCUUGUGGGAGGUGAGUGGCUUCUUCGCAUCCCUUGCUUUUGUUUUAUUCUUGCUUAUUGUUGUUUUCUUUCUUCUUCCUUGUUCCUUCCCAUUUUAAACCAUUUUUAUCUCAACCUCUGAUUUUUCUUCCUUUUGUUCUUCCUAUCCUCUCCUUAUCUGACAGUGGGAGAGUGAUAAAGUGGCUGUGUGGGCCUGACAUGCUGAUCAGCAUUAACCCACAACAUAUCCUAAAAUAAUAGUCAUCUGUAGCACCUGCCAGGCAGAAAUCACACAGGACCUGAUUUUCACUCAUAUGCAUGAAGUUACUAAUGGCUUAAAUGUUGUAUAAGGCCCCAAAACAGAAAAGAGACAUUGAGGCUUCUGAGAGGGAGAAUGGCACAGAUGAGUCCUAUAAUAUUAAGAUUUUUAAAAAAUUUGAUAACUGGAAAAUCUUACAUUGUGUAUCUAUAGAACUGCUUUUAUACAGGCACUUCCUGAUCCAGUUUGUGUGUAGCACAACAUCAAUCUGUUCACCCCAGAAAAGAGUAUAAUUUGAAAGUUUGUCUGUUGAAUUGUGCCUGGUAUGUCCCUAAUGACAACAUUUUUCAACAAGUUGUGGCAAGAAGCCCCCCUGCCCUAGGAGGGCCGAUCUGUUACCUAUCAGCUGAUACAGUAGCUCAGGGCAUCUUCACCUCGCAUGUAUUUACUAAUUGCUGAAAUAACUCAAUCAGGGCAGCUUGUCUUGUAGCAAGUAAUUUCGGCACCGUGGUGGUGACAUUCCCAGCUGACAAUAAACAUCUUGUCUUAAAAGCAAGCUUGUAGGAAGAUGAGCUUGAAUUUCUGACUGACAGACACUUCACUUUACAAACUACAGAAACCACACCAUACUUUCAUUUGCAUAUUCCCUGGAAAUGUGUGGGGAUCUCUCCUCAAGGUUUGGGACGCCUGUCUUGAGUUGUUCUCUCAAGGGUUCAGUGAAAGGUCUCUGUGUACCCCAUGAUCAGUUUGGUGGUAAGUUACGUUCACUCCUGUUCUAUACUAUUUCUUUCCUAACUGCUACAUAGGUACCUUUAUGUCAUGCACUGUUUUAUGUAAUCUAUUAGUAGUUCUUUUGUUUUAUCCUGUGUAGUAAGUAACUCUCUUUAAAGCCUUUUGUCUGUUAAUCUCCUGUCUAUUUAAUAAAUAACCCAUUUUAUAAUAGACCUGAUCUGCCAUUCUUAAGAACUUGUGAGCCAGAGCAAUUUAGGUGCAGGUCACCUAAGUAAAGCUGCUGUGAAAAAUCUGAGGCUAAGGCAGGGCAUGUUCAAAGAUCUCACUCGAUCCACAGCACAAGUGUAUGAAAAAGGACUUACAUCUGAAAAGACACCAAGACAUUUGAAUUGUUAAAGGCUUUCAAUAUUUUUUGCCUCCUGGACAGAAGAAUCAUAUAUCAGUAACAAUGGAAAAAACUAGCUUGGCUUUAAAAAAAAGAUUUUUUUUUAACUUAAUAGAAAACUUGAAUGCUGAACUUGAGCAAAUGCUGUAAUUUAUCUGUUUAUUGCAAUACUGCCUUAGUAUAGCACUGUAUAAUAAGCAUUUCUCAGUAAUUGCUAGCAUUAGUGUCACACCGCCACUAAUACAUCACCUUGGGUGCACUAUCCUAAAAUGUGAAUACUUCCCACUUGGGAAAGCUGAGACAUCAUCUUAGUCUUUUUCUACUUGAUUUAAUGUGCUCUAGCCAACAUCUUGUCAAGCUGACAUUUGAAUGCAAAUAACACUGGCAUAUAUAUAUAUAUAUAUAUAUAUAUAUAUAUGUAUGUAUGUAAAAUAAAUGUUUUGAUACUGUUAAGAAGAGAUAGAAUAUGAGUAGUUUACCAAAGACUGCAGAUAGUGAGCAUGGAAAUAUCUUUUCAGACCAACAAACACAGACCUGUUAAUAUGAGUGAUUACCUUCGUAUGGUGAAUUAGGGUUACCCAGACACUAAUCAGACAGUGUUAAACAUAGUCCUGGGAUAGUUACAUGACAGGUAAAUGAAUUAUAGCAUAACCAAGUGAUACUGCAUGAGUUUUUGAUUGGGUUCAAGAUCAGAAUAUGCAAAAUAAUCAGAACCAAGCUGGGUGUUGUUCAGCAGAUCCUGCUCUGGUUUUUAAUCACAGGUUCAGCAUUGAACAUCAUUCCAAACUUGUGGUAAAGUUAGAAUUUUCUGUCUUGAUUUAUGAAAAUAAAAAAUGAUCCAUGUCCUCUAGCCUGAAAGAUGCAUCUUCUUCUAUCCCUUCCUGUGUCAGCUGAAUUCAGCUGACAAACUUAGGUUCAAUCUACUCCAGUACCUACCAGAUACAGAGAUGUUAACAAGGUAUUUUCAGCUGGGUCUCAUUUCCCUCUCACAGUGGUAUGUCAUCUAUAAAAUCACACCUUUCUAUGUACUUGCUUACACUUUUUGUCCACAGCCACUCAGCUGACAUAGGCUUUUAUGAGUCAGUCUUGAUAAAACAGCUUGAGCUAGAAAUCAAUGCUGAUAUGACAACUCAUACGAGCAGCUUCAAAUCCACUCUGUUGAGAGCAAAUCCAUUUUCUUUUAAUGAAGGCACACCUGCUUACUAAAGUGAUCAAUGUGGCAAGACAUAAACAUGUGUUUGACUGCAAGUAUGUGCUUAAAUUUCGAAGCACUCUCAGGCUUAAAGCUUGUGUUCAUUUGAGCUGAGGAUUCUAUUGCUUAUUCUAAUAACUGUGAAGAAAGCUGCUAAACUGAUGAUGCAAUAGGACCUGAGAUGGCAAUAACUAUGUGUGUGUCAUCUUUAAAAACAGAUACUUUCUCUCUUGCUGCACUUGUAAAUGCCAAAACAGAAGAGACAGAAGAAAAGGCUUUCCAGGCUAUUUAUUUGUUUGUUUAUUGUUAGGAUUAAUGAAACAGAUGUGGACAAUCACAAUAUUUUCCAUGGGUUUUGGGUAUUUCAGCAGGUGUUUAUGGACAAGAUUUACCCAGAUGACUGAUUUUUGUAAGAGUAGGAGAGAGUCUAGUGAAGGAAUUUGAAUCACUAGGAAAGGGGAUCAAUGUCCUGUCAGAUUUCUUCAGGGCUUCCAAGCAAUGUUGUAUACUUUUGACUAUAACAUCAAUAUGAAGAAGAUGCUUCCUUCUCCCUGCAGAAGUAGCACCACUGAAAGAACAAGAUGAAAUGCACUUGUUCUCAUCAUUGCUUCAGCUGUAAUUGGAGAAUAACUGGUUUCAGGCAGUGAAGACUGUGACUGAAAAGCAUGUAGCAUCAUGCAGUUUGAGCUAAAUUACAUCCAUGCUAUGAAUUAAGCAUAGACUUCAUUGUGCUUUUUGCCCAGGCAUGUUCAGCAAAGGCACUUCUUAAGUAAUGCAGUACAAAGAUACUAUAUUAGACUGACCUCCACAAUACUGGAAGGAAAAAAUGUGAGCCUGCAUCAUGAAUUAACUUAGGUGAGAUGUUUCCUUUACAUAUUCAGGAAGGGCUGGACAUGUUCAUACCAAGGAUAAGUCCACAUAGAGCUGUACAAAGCUUUAGUCUUUCAGACAGUGGUGUGAGUGUUUUUCAGUCUUUAGGGGUUUUUUUCCAUUUGCCCAACAGUUUUUUCCUGGAAAGAGAAUGCUUGCUGUGAGCCAGCCCUGCUAAUAUCUGCUGUCCAUCUCCUUCCAGGAUGAGUGAAGCCCAUCUCUGUCUGCACAUUCUUCUCCCCUUUUGCAUUUGAAUGUUGCCUGGCCACUGUCUUGUGAUUUUUUUGUUUUAAUCACUGCUUUUUUGUCCUUCGUUAUUAUUGCACCAUGCAUUGUGAAAUGUUGAUAGGAUUGGAGGUCACUGUAUGCAUAAUAAUAUACUUUUAAUUUUGUAUUAUAUUAAUAUAAAUAUUUUCUUGUAAUAUCUUUUCUAUUACAUAUUAGGGUGAUUUGUUGUUACAGUGUACUGUACUCCUUGCAUUUCAGAAUGUCAUGUGUUGAAUCAAACAUUACUCUGAUGAUGUGACAAAUGCCUUUGUAAUGGUUUCUUAUGCAUUUAUACCCCUCACCAGGUGACAUAUUCUGUUGAACUAACUGAGAAAUGGUACAUUUUCUAUCAGCACACUUAUGCUUGAGCAUGUAUUGUACUUCUGCUUUGAGUAUUACAGCAGCUCAUGAAGAAAAGACUGGAUUAACUUUAUCAUAUUCACAAUAAGGAAAGAAAAUACAUGCAUGCUGAAUACUUUAGUUAUAGUGAUGCAUAAGAAAUUGGUUGUCAUUUCAUGAGUUAUCCCAAAGUACAAGUACAGAUAAUAAAUGAAAGCUUAAAUUGUCUGAAGAUAAUAGCUUAGGUAGCCUGCAUUUGUAAACAAAGAACACUUACACUAAACAUCAGAAUAUUUUUUCCCAUUUGGGGAAUCUAUUAAUAGUGUUCUUAUUUCCAUUCUGCCUUAAUUUUCUGCAACCUGUAUUGGCUCUGGCAUCAUUCUAUUUCAAUUUCCUUCUACUAUUGUGUGCAUGGUCUUACUUAUCCAUGAUUUUAUUUGCCCCCACCUUUUAGAUGUUAGGUGUAAGCUGGGAUAUUUAUCUCGGCUAUCACAAUUUGGAAGAGUCACUCAGAAUGCUUUGGCAAUGCUCUUCAAGAGACAGACAGAGACCUUCAGUCUGAUUCAAUUGUUCCCUUCGUUCUCCCCACCAUCAACAGUUGUUACAGAAAUUUACAAAAAUAUAUGUAUUACACACACAGACACACGCUCUCAACUGCUGGACAAAGAACACUUUACCACUUUGUACCCUUCAGAUAAAUUGUAAUAAACCCAUUGCAACUCCUUUUAGAGUUACUACACUGAACUACACAAUAGCAUAUAUCUAAAAAGAUUGUCUUAGCAAGAGAGGUAUCACAGAACUGUUGAAAUUUAACUGGAUUCAGCCUAUAAAAGAUAUGCAGAUGGCAAUUUUAAGUCUUGUAAGCUAUCAAGCUGAGUACUAUAAAACAAGAGAAAAAUAAAUUAUUUCGUUACUGAAAUGCAUAGACUCUAUAUAGACUCUAAUUCAAAAGGAGAGGGCCUAUGUAGGACUGACCUGACUUGCUAUUAAGGGGAGACUAAAAUUCACUGGCUUUUAACUAAAUUAUGCAAGUUUUAUUAUAAAAGAAAAUAAAGACCCAGGUGAUAACUGCUCAAACUUUUUACAGGGCAAGCUGAUCCAUGCAAUCUAGUCCCAUUCACACAGUACUAGAUUGAUAUCAAUUAUACGAUGUGAUCUUUGCAGCCAAAAUCUUACAUGAAGCCUAUUAAUGCCUACUCUGAUCAAAAGAAAAGUAGCAUAGGUCAUUGAAGAAAAUAAAGUACAUAGAUAUAGUGUGUCUAACCUAUAAUAAUUUUGCCAGAGAUGGGGAAAACGUGAUUAACAAUAUUCAGUGCAUGCUCUAAGAUUACUACAGGCACUAAGGGCUGGACAUAAGCUUGCCUAUGGAGAGGGAAGCUGAAAUAACCAUUUCAAACACACCUAAGCUGUGGAAGUAGAGCUGGAGGUCCUGGCCCAAAUACCUCUUAAGAAUAAGGUAUCCCAAACGAGCAAUGUAGCCAUAAAGUAGCUAACAACAUUUGGAAGAUUCAGGAAGAGUAGACAGGAAAAUAAAAUGUAUAGUGAUGACAUUUUCAUGGCCUCACAUUUUAUGAACCUCCAACACUUUCUCCUUGAUUUAUAAGUUGGGGUUUUUUAAUGCAGAAAUAUGGGAUCUGGUAGAAAAAAUAAAGAUGGAAUUAGAAUGCAGUUCCUCUUAUGUCACAGAGAAGGAAGUAUUAAUCAGAACUAUGCAAUAACUGCAAACAACUGAGAGUGUCCAUAAAUAUGGCUGAGACAUAGAGCUUUCUGUGCAACCUCAGAGGCGUAUUGUAAUGACAAAAUGGAGAAAUAAUUGUGAAACUGGUGAUGGCCAUCAUGGUUCAUCGUGCUUUGCAUAGCAAUGAGUAUGCUGAGUGCCCUUCCCUAUGCCAGCUACCUGGGCGAGCUAUUGGAAUUUUGCUAAUGUUGCAGGUAAAUGAGAGUCAGAUGGCAAAAAUAAUUGGAGUAAAUGCUUCUUUCUCUUCCAUCACUGUAAAAAGUGUCAUUUACACUCACAAUGGUAGACAAGGACUUAAUACAUAAGGAACAUUUUAUCAAUGAACACCUUGGUGAUUAUUCACUUAUUGCACAAGACACGUGUGGAUGAAGCCACCUUGCCUAGGUGUUAUUCAGAGAAUUAUAGGAUAUGGUGAGUUGGAGGGGAUCCACAAUGGUGAAAGUGUUUUAAAAACUUCUACAAAGCAUGUUUGUGUCCCUCAGAGUCCAUGCCAUUUUCGGAGGAGUGUGGCAGAGGGAAUAAAUAACCUGCAGCCCAAGAUAUUAUUAUUUCUGAAUUUGAAAUAAAAAGGCAUGGAACUUCCUAUCAUGAAAGGAACAAGAAAAUGACAUCUCUGGCCCCUUUUUUUUAAAAAAAAAUACACUUUUUUUUCUUCAGGACCAAUUUUAACAUGCCUUCAAUCAGACAUUUUGAGAUGCUGACGCUAAAUAUCUCUAAACAGACAGAUGUCUGAAGUGAACUGUUAGUUUUUUGCUUUUCCAGAGUACAGCUCAUUUUCAAAUGAAGAAGCUGAGAGCAUUCUCUGUUUUCCCAUAGUACAUGUUGAUAACUGUGGGCAGCUGCCCAGUCCAAAGAGAGUUCCUGAAAGGACCAUGCUUCAGGGCUGUUAAUUUGUUGGCAUGGCUUCUUGGGUAUUGAAGGUGUAUUUUAAGAGAUUUGUUAGCAGUGAUUUCACCAAGAGCUUGUGACAAGAUAGAAAAUGACACUGAAAAAUAUCCUAAAUGAUGGAUUCCCUCUCUUUUUUAAAAUUAACUUCUAUUUCUAUAUAAAUAGAUCAGGGCUCUGCUAUUGGUUUGCAUUUACAUAAUUUCCGUCCAGUAUGUUUUUUACAGUAUGUUUUUUAAGUUUUGGCUUUGUAGGGCUCAAAAUGACAGAACACGAAAAUCACGUCUGUAUGCAGAAUAUGUUAAUAUACUCCUUUUAUCAACCUAUUUUUUUCAGAACAUACUUAUGCCAUUCAAGUGAUUUAGUUCAAAGUUAAGGUCUGGUCUGUCUAGGAACUUGGUAAAAUGAGUGGGCUUGACUCUACUCAGCUUAGACCAGAUCUUUGUGAUUUUCUUAUCUUGAUAUAAAUCCUUGCGAUUUAAUUCUGAGUGUUAAACACAGAAGCACUACAUAGGAAGGGCAGCUGAUAACUCAACAAGUGCAUUAUGCGUAAGAGCUCCUUCCAGCAUAAAAUUAUAUGAUACGUGAUGCCACCAAAAAACAUGGUAAAUUAGUCUCAGUUGGCAUUCUGUUAAGAACUGGAAAACUAAGAAAUUAACCUAAAUCAAGCAGUCCAAAGCACACAGGGGUUUGUGCUUAUAUGCAUAUGGGAGCAUAUAAUGUGCUUGAGAGUAGGAAGGACACACUGUAUGAUUCAUCUUGCUAACAAGCAGAAAUAUUAUUUGAUAUCUUAGAUGGAACCCUAAUACUUCAUAACUUUGUAUAAAGACUCUGGAUGCAGUUUUGAUAGACAGCAAAAUAUGUGUAUGGUGAACCACCUGCUGUCUUCUUCUUGUUAAAAAGUUGUCUUGUUUAUUAAUUUAUUCCUGACAAAGAUAAAACUUCAAAUAAUAGUCUCCAUUCUAUUUUCAAUGAAGUACUCUUCUAAUGAAUGAAACACAUAAUUACUAGUCUUUAUUUCCUUUACUUAGUCUACCAUUGACUUAUAUAACGUGUAGUGUGUACAUGAAAAAAAGAGAUAGUGGCAGUGCUGUGGUGAAGAGAGAAAAUUGAGAGAAAGAAGCUUUUUUAGACAAUUCCCAUCAUAGCUCUAAUAGUAUGUCGUAGUGAAGAGGAUAUCUCUGUUAGCAGUGGACAAUUAGACUAACCAGCAUGAGAUUUCUGCCUGCUAGGCAGUGUACUGUGGGACUUUAAUAUUGAAGUUUUUAGAAUUAAACUCUCCUAAUAAACCAAAUAUUUAAGUGCUAACGCUACAUCAAUGAAGUUGAUUUACAUAUGAGUAGAAGGCUAGGAUACAUAUCUGAAAUAAACUGAGAAAUCCAGGCUGCUGCAUGUAGGUAGGGGAGACACACAUUGGCGCAGUAUGAAAAAGUCAGAGGGUUAACUUACACAGUUUAUUUCUCUUCUUCUCCCCACGUUUACUCUCAAAAAAGCUGCAAGUAAAGUCUUUGGGAAAGAGCACAAGUGCAGUUCUGAAAAGCAAAGAAAGGGCUUUAGAGAUCACAGAUGAAGUUGUUAUUGAGAGCAAAGAAAUAGGCAGCUGAGGACAUUACAACAUUCAUGUUGGCUGAAUUAUAAACUGUUGAAAGUCUUUCCACACCUUUAAAGAGAUGCAGAAGUCAGUGUAACAUGAAAUAAAGAUACACAUUUUUAAAACAAUAAUUAGACUGAGGUCUGGAUUCCCUUAAGUGUUAGACUAACACCAAUUCUCAGGACUGCCUGGUCCAUGGCCAUGUUUGUGAUUGGAGAGUUCUUCUAGUCACAAGGCUUUGUUAGACCACAAAAAGGUAGCACUUAUACUUAAAACUUUAUUAAUCUGCCUUAGCCCAAUUAGCUAUCAGGCUAUAUGCUAUGAAAAAGACACUUAUGUAGUAUUGGUACUGUAGGAAAAUAAUACUCCUAACUGAAAUAAGGAUGUGGAAAAUGUAAAUGUGCAUAACCUAAGGACAGCUUAAAUUUAUCAGAAUUUAUUGAUGGGAGUACUAAUAAGAUGUGCUUCUUUAACAAUAUAGACCAUCCCAUCCUUUACCCAGGAAGCUGAGCUGUGUCAAAGACCACUGAGCUGUGUGUAAAACAGCUCCCGAAUCACUAGUAGUUGCAGUCCAAUUAUUUUGAAGUAAAAUUAUAACCUUUUAUUUCAAGACAAAUUGAACUGAACUAUGGUGUUUCAGAAGCAACCUAAGCCUCUGUGUGGCAAAGGUCCAGUACACUCAAUGCUUUCUCUAAAAUGCUUUGAACAGCUCAUGGGUCACCCAGAAACAAUCUCUUUUUCACUGUGUUUCAGUUUCUCUGUGUUUCUACUGUCCAAGUAGAAACCCCAGUGCCAGUACCCUGUAAUAAUCAGCGUAGGUGAUAUUGCCAAUUUUUGCAAGGUGAUACUGCAGUCCCCAGGGGGAUUGAAAAAGGGGAUGAUUCAAAUUGAAAUAAACCCUUGGCUCUGACAAUCUGGACAGUGUUUGCCCAACAUUUCAGCAGGGCCACAUGUGACACUUUGUUAAAUUUGCUUGCUCUGUAGCUGCUAAAAUCAUAUAAAUACAUCCAUUUUGAAAUGGGCUUUAUCUCUUCCUUCCCACCACUGUCAAGAUAUGACUGAGUAUGCUGGAGAAGCUGGUGUAAGUCAAAGAGCUUUUUCACCAAACAGGGCUAUUGUCAUCUCUGAUGGAAGUAGGUGUUGCUGUGUGAAAGACUUGGCUGCAUUUGGGGUUGAUUCAAGUUUUUUUAAUGUGCCCUUGCCUUCUUACAAUAUUGCUAUUUAUUUGUAGGCAUAGCUGUAAGAAAGGUCCUUCAACCUUUACUGUCAUGAUGUAAGUCUAAAUUCUGGGUGAACAAAGCUGUUGGGAAGGGAUCAAUCUGCCAACAGCCAAAGGUCAAUGCCUGGGUAUAAACUGAAGAAAUAAAAUCAAUCCACCAUAACCCAAAUCCUUCAAAGAUACAGGUAAAAUGCCAAGAUGGGUCACCCACACUGCCAAAGCACAGGGUGCAGUGACUCUCAGCCAAGCUAAACAGCGCAUUGAGGGGAUCCAGUCUUGCAGACCAACAAGCCUCUACCAUGCAAGUGCCACAUAUGUCCUACAAAGAUGCUUAGGUAGUGUCACUAAACUCCCAAAAGAUCAUGAGUCAUGUGAAAUGGACAAGGUGGGAAACUAACCCAUAAUUGUCCCUAUGUUACCUAGAUAAUGCAUACAUAGGUGCCCAUCACAUUUAGCUGAGUGCACACUUCAGAGCUCAGCAUCAAUGCCAUCUCCUGGUUCUAAAAAAGCCUGUCAUGAAUCCUAGUGCAUAAUGGCCUUGAAAGAGAACCUUACCAAGCUUACUUUUCCAUGAUACCUCCCUGCCUAGCCUUGCUCUACCCUGUCCUUAAGUUUUCCCUCUGCUCUCGGGUUAAUCUGGUGUGAUCUUCUGCACAUUUGUAAUAUAGAGGAACUGUGCUCCAGAUGUCUGCUGCCUGCACUGUCAGUGGCCCAGUGAGGUUUUUGUUAUCUAACUGGGAAAGCCAGAGCAAGCAAGGAGCAUGACGGAGGAUGGUGAGUGGCUUUGUGCAGGAAAGGAGUGUCCUGGUCCUAGCCACAGCCCACAACAGGAGAGGAGUGUCCUGGACACAGGAGUGUCCCAGACAUCACUGUGUUCUCCACCAGGCUCUGCCACAGCAUCUCUGGGAUUAAUUUCUCCCCACUCUGAUGAGACAGAGGAAGGCCGUUGAUACCAUGAAGAUUGACCUGCGUGUCAAGACACCAAAGUAAUUAAAAAUAUGUUUUUAAAAGACAGACAAAGUGCUGGAUGUUGUUGAUAGAUAAAGUUGAGUAGGAUCUUUCAGGGAUUGGUGUGCAAACCUGGUGCGCAAUCCUGGUGUGAAAGAUUAGUGUCUUAGCAGAGGAGUUCAGUAGAUGGCCUUCACUUUUUUAGGUAUAGAUGCACUUUGUUAUUUUUUAAACUUCAUGAAAGGAAAAUCAGGGCAACACAAAGCUAUUUUUUCCUACUUAGCAGCUGGAAGUAAGGUGAAUUUAUCAGCCUCAGUGGCGUCCCUUCUGAACAACAGCAUCCCACAAAGAGAAAAGGCAAACAAGUAAGCCAGCACAGCAUGGCAUGGUUGAAAUUAUCUGUCUUGUUUUGUGCACCUGGAAGAACAAACUUUUUGGUACAAGGCAGGUGUAAUUCAGUCUUUGUGAUGACUCACACUUGGCAAUUAGCUGAGAAAAAACUGCAAAAUAUGAUGCAUUAUUUAUUAAUAAUGGGGGAUUUUGUGUGUGUGUGUGUGUGUGCACAUGUGUGCAUAUGAACAGCUGCAGCUCAGUGGGACUGAGAAACUAGGGUGGACUGCAUUUAGAGCAAAAGUGAGGACUUCACUGGCUGCCUCUGGUUGCAUCUUCAAAGCCACCACUGCCUCUUUUCUUCUCUUUCUCCCCCUUUCCACUCUUCCAUAUAUUCACUUUAUAGUGUCUUUAUCCAUAUUCAAGUGCUCAGAUAUCAUUUAAUCCACAUAGUCCCUUUUUGCCCAUCUACAAACAAAUUUGUUCCAUUGCAGUGGAAAGUUACAAUGUUUAUUACAUGUCUGUCUAAGAUGAACCCCAAAGGAUGUGUUUUAUCCUCAUUCAUAUAAUUGUCAUAAGGUAGAAAAUGAAAUUUCCAGAAUCAAAAAACUGUAGAAGAAUUUCAGAGAACUGCAUGUCAGUUUUUACUUUGAUGUACACUAUGUUUUAAAAAAUCUGGAAGGGGGAGGUAGUGAGGAGAGGAAAAAGAUUCACUGAGUAUCUUACAGGAGAUUUCAUCUCUAUUGCUUAAUUCUUUGGAUUGUAGAAGGAAGAAAAGAAUCUCUUCUUGCUUUCUGGAGUGAAAGUAUUCUGAAGAGACAUUGUGAGAACUUCAUUUAGUACCAUGGAUAGUUUCUCAUUCCUACUUGCAUUUUAAUAAAAGUAAACAUCACCUCAAUGUUUGCUGUGAGGGUAUAAUGAUUUUUUAAAUUUUAGUGGGA